UACAGAGGUCUCAAGCGUUGUUCGGAUUCAUUGGGCGUAAAGGGUGCGUAGGCGGCGCGGUAAGUCGGGUGUGAAAUCUCGGGGCUUAACUCCGAAACUGCAUUCGAUACUGCCGUGCUUGAGGACUGGAGAGGAGACUGGAAUUUACGGUGUAGCGGUGAAAUGCGUAGAUAUCGUAAGGAAGACCAGUGGCGAAGGCGGCUUUCUGGUCUGUAACUGACGCUGAGGCGCGAAAGCGUGGGGAGCAAACAGG
rnacentral:rRNA from 1 species